CCUACGGGGGGCAGCAGUGAGGAAUAUUGGUCAAUGGGCGAGAGCCUGAACCAGCCAAGUCGCGUGAGGGAGUACUGCCCUAUGGGUUGUAAACCUCUUUUGUCGGGGAGCAAAAGCCGGACGUGUCCGUCUGUUAAAUUACCCGACGAAAAAGCAUCGGCUAACUCCGUGCCAGCAGCCGCGGUAAUACGGAGGAUUCAGGCGUUAUCGGGAUUUAGUGGGUUUAACGGGUGCGCAGGCGGAUUUUUACUGCAGCGGUAAAAUCGUGGGGCUCAACCCCAUCCAGCCGUUGAAACUGGGGAUCUAGAGUGUGCGAGAGGUAUGCGGAAGGCGUGGUGUAGCGGUGAAAUGCAUAGAUAGCACGAAGAACCCCGAUUGCGAAGGCAGCAUACCGGUGCACAACUGACGCUCAGGCACGAAAGCGUGGGUAUCGAACAGGAUUAGAUACCCUAGUAGUC
rnacentral:rRNA from 1 species